rnacentral:tRNA from 3 species
GGCGGCGUAGCUCAGUGGUAGAGCACUCGGCUCAUAUCCGAUUGGUCAGGGGUUCAAAUCCCUUCGCCGCUA